rnacentral:rRNA from 1 species
UACGGGGGGGGUAAGCGUUGUUCGGAAUUACUGGGCGUAAAGGGCUCGUAGGCGGCCAGUUAAGUCAGACGUGAAAUCCCUCAGCUUAACUGGGGAACUGCGUCUGAUACUGGAUGGCUUGGAUUCGGGAGAGGAAUGCGGAAUUCCAGGUGUAGCGGUGAAAUGCGUAGAUAUCUGGAGGAACACCGGUGGCGAAGGCGGCAUCCUGGACCAACACUGACGCUGAGGAGCGAAAGCCAGGGGAGCAAACGGG